CCGGGCGCACUUUGGCGCGUGGGCUGUUGGAGGCAGCGCGGGCCGGAGGACGGGGGCGGACCCCUCUGCGCCUCUCGCGCGCCCGGAGGCAGCCGCCGAGGGGGAUGCUGCCCAGUGCGCGUGCUCGCCCGGCGGCCACCCCUCUCGUAUGUUAGCGGUCGGGGCCUCGCGCACUCCCGCUGGGCCGGCUCAGUCGGGCGGCAGCCGGCGCAGGAGGCGGCGGCGGCGGCGCGAGUGGAGCAUCCGCAGCAGGAGGAGCAGGGGGAGGAGGGGCGCAGCGGGGAACAGCCGAGUCCGGGCUGCCUCCUCUCCCCGUCAGAGGGGGCGGGAGACAGCGGAGGGGGCCGAGGGAAGGGGCGACCGUCACCCCCUCAUCCAGCGUCGCCGAGCGACCCCCUGCUCUCGCGGGGCGAGUCUCCACUGGGCCCCCUCCAGCAGCCCGGCCCCCGCGCCGCGCCGCGCCGCGCCGCCUCGCCUCGCCUGGAGUGCGGGCUGGGCCGGGGCGGACCUUGGGGGGCGGUUGUUAUUUCCAGGCUGGUUGUAGCGGGUGUGAAGGCCAGGGGCGUGUGUGGCGGGGAGCUCAACUGCUGACCAGAUGGGGGACGUUUGGGCGGGUUGAUUAGCUGCCCUAAGUAGCAUGAAUAAUUUGCGGGGGGGGGCUGCCGUGGAUAGCUAUUGCUGGGGGCAUGCUCGGGAGCCUCUUUCUCUGUGGGUGGGUUAAUUAGUGGCCAGUUUUCUCGGGAUUAUCCCUCUUUUCUCUCCACUUCCCCCCUGGUUUCCACUGGUUUAGUUGGGUCCCCUAUGUGUAUUUUACACUGUCCCUGGCGGAGAAGGGGAGAAUUUUAAAUUCUCCAUCCCCAACUUUCCAACCAUCACACACAAUCCUGCCGGGAGGACAGAAGCAGCGGCCAGGUGUUGGUGAUUCCAGACUCAGUUAGGGGUUCAGUUCUGAGGAAGCAGAGACGUGAGGGGCUUAUUGGAUUGAAUCUGUUUUUUUGCGCAGGCUGCCACAGCUCUACAUCAAUAUCCUCACUUCUCUUCCCCACCCUCCUCUCCCCCGAGGGGGGGGAGGAGCUGGGAAUCACUUUUAAAAUCCCCCACCCCCUUCCCCAACAUACCUUGGUCCCUGGGGGCACAAGCCAGGCAUCACCCAUUGUAGUACCAGGAGAACAUAAUCCUCAUCACUCCUUUCCUGGCUUUGGGGGCUCCAGCAGGACACUGCUCCCUCCCUUGGAGUGCAGAUCAGAGAGGCCCUGAGAGGACAUCAUUAGCACCCUCUUCUCAGGGGGCGCCAAGGAAAGAAGGGUACCUGCAAGCCUUCACCUCACUGAGAGAGCCAGAACUGAAGCACCAGUUACUGGGGGCACUGAAAGAAGCACCCAUCUCUGACAACCCUUCAUCUCCUACUCCCCAAACCUCUGAGUUCCAUUAAAAGGAGAUCCCGGAGGUUACAAGACUAGUCAAACAAGAUGUGCAGCUCAGUUGCUCCCAGGCUGUGGUUCUUAACAGAUCGUCGUAUCAGGGAAGACUACCCUCAACAGGAGAUCCUGAGGGCGCUCAAGGCCAAGUGCUGUGAAGAGGAACUAGACUUUCGGGCCUUGGUGAUGGAUGAAGUGGUACUGACCAUUGAGCAUGGAAACUUGGGUCUCCGGGUGAAUGGGGAGCUCAUUACUGCCUAUCCACAGGUGGUGGUUGUACGUGUGCCAACACCCUGGGUCCAGAGCGACAGUGACAUCACGGUCCUUCGCCACUUGGAGAAGAUGGGCUGCCGGUUGAUGAAUCGGCCUCAAGCCAUCCUCAACUGCGUCAACAAGUUCUGGACCUUCCAGGAGUUGGCUGGUCAUGGUGUGCCUCUCCCAGACACCUUCUCCUAUGGUGGUCAUGAGAACUUUGCCAAAAUGAUUGAUGAAGCGGAGGUGCUGGAGUUUCCCAUGGUGGUGAAGAACACACGGGGUCACCGAGGCAAAGCUGUAUUCCUGGCACGAGAUAAGCACCAUUUGGCAGACCUGAGCCAUUUAAUUCGUCAUGAAGCCCCUUACCUGUUCCAGAAAUAUGUCAAGGAGUCCCAUGGCAAGGAUGUGCGUGUCAUCGUGGUAGGCGGCCGCGUGGUGGGGACCAUGCUGCGCUGCUCAACAGAUGGGAGGAUGCAGAGCAACUGUUCACUUGGCGGUGUAGGGAUGAUGUGCUCACUGAGUGAACAAGGCAAGCAGCUGGCAGUCCAGGUGUCAAACAUCCUGGGGAUGGACGUGUGUGGCAUCGACCUACUGAUGAAAGAUGAUGGCUCGUUCUACGUCUGUGAGGCCAAUGCAAAUGUAGGUUUCAUUGCCUUUGACAAGGCUUGUAAUCUAGAUGUAGCUGGUAUCAUAGCGGACUAUGCCGCUUCUCUCCUUCCCCCCGGUCGCUUGACGCGGCGUAUGUCCUUGCUCUCUGUGGUGUCCACGGCCAGCGAGACUAGCGAGCCAGAGCUGGGCCCUCCAGCUAGUGCCGCUGUCGACAAUAUGAGUGCUAGCUCCAGCUCUGUCGACAGCGACCCUGAGACCACGGAGAGAGAGUUGCUCACCAAGCUCCCGGGGGCUUUAUUCAACAUGAACCAGCUAUUAGCCAAUGAGAUCAAACUCCUUGUGGAAUGAUGCCACGUGUAAAUACAUUACCAACAAAACUCUUGUAAAUUUUUUUUAAACCAACUUGCAAUGCUGUUUAUCAGAGAAGCUCAGGGAGAUGAAUGGAGUGGGGAGGGAAUUAAUCAAAAAAGUGAGAUUAAAAGGUGCAUAUUCUCUGAUUGCUGCUCUUACUUUUUAAUCCUCCAGAAUUUAUGAUUGGUUUCAUUUUUUGGCAGCCAAUCUCUAGUCAGUGAUACCCAGUUCAAAUCCAUGUGGGGAUUUUAUUUAUGUGCAGCUGUGGUCCCAAGCUUAUCACAGAACAUAUGUAUUGAUGGGGAAAUAUUAUAGUGCAAUUCACACUUCUGGUUCUGGAAUGCUAUCUUGCAAUUCUCCAAAAGUAUCUGUGAACUAAUGCAGCAGUGAACUCUCUCCUGCCUCUUUAAGAGCUUGAUCUUGUGAAUUGCUUGAGUGCCUUUAGUUUCCAAGAGAGCUGAGGGUGCUUAAGGUCUGAUAUUUCAAAGGUGCUGAGCAUCUGCAGUUCCCAUUCACAUAAGUGGGAGCUGUGAAAGUUCAGCAUCUCUUAAAAUCAGCCCAUUGUGACCUUGCAGGAUCUGGCCUUAAGUGAUGGGGCAGGGACAGGAAACUUGAGCUUUCAGUACAAACCUGCGACUUCUGCCAUCUCAGUAUUAACUGGCAUGUGUCCACUAAAAUGUGUCCAUAUUUGUUUAUAAAGCUUUUGGGGGGGGAUGUUUUUUAAAUUUGUGGGUUUUUUUAUCAUUUUAAAUCCUGGGACAGGUGUGUAGAGGAAUCAGUCAUGUUCUCAUUUAUGGCAGAAGUGGCAUGUUUUAACUAUUUUUGCACGAUUGGAAGAGAUAAACAGCAUUGUAAUGUUCGGUGUACAAAAUAAUGUUUAAUCCAAUGUGAAAAAGAAUUACACUAGUUUAAAACAAAUGUGCAUUGACUUGUAUUUGUUAGUGUUUUAGUCUUUGAGAGAGAGAUGCUAUGUUAAUGUUCCAUUUUUUUAAUACAUGCUAGUCCAACACACCCUUCUCUAUGCCUGCAUCUUUAACAGUAGCCAAAGUGAGAACACCACAAACUAUUUAACAAAACGCUGACUUGAAGCCUGUAAAUCAUUCUUUUAUUUUUGUCAUUUUUUUUCGGGGAAAUGUGGUAGGGUGUGGAGGAGGGAAAAGGUUGGUUGAAACCUCAGACAUUUAGGAUAAAGCUGAAGUUCGUUCGUUACCAUUAUUACUAGGCUUGUAUUUAGACAUUUUCAAUGUGGAAAACUCUGAUGUCAGCUGAGUUCCAAAACAUGGAUCCAGGGGAAAAAUACACAGUUCUUGGCUUUGGGAAACUAUGCAGCAGAUUUAAAGAAAAAAAAAAAAAGGCUCAGCUAGAAUAAAAAUAUAAAAGGGCCAUAAGCAAUGAAUAGAUGGAUCCUGGACCCUGUGUAUGUGUGUGUGCUAUGAUUUAUUUAUUUUUGGUUUGGGGCUGUUCAGUUUCAUUUUUUCAGGCUGACCGAUUUUCUUUCCUCAGUCCUUCUGGCUGUGUGUUUUCUCAUUCAAUUUGAGCCGUUUUGGGAAACAAAGAACCAAAACAGCAGUGUUGGGUCCAUUUUGAAGUCCCCAUCUUCCUCCUCCUCACCUCCUCCCUGUUCCUUCCCUCCUUCUGGGUUCAUAAAGCACUGGAACUAUAGAUAUAUAUAGAUAUAGAUAUAUAUCUAUAUAGAUAUAUAUAUGCGCGCCUCUUUUUAGGGGGAAAAAAAGUAAAAUGUUUGCGACUGAAAGACGGUUUUGUGAAAAGAGGGUUUGGAGGGGUGUUUGUGUGUGUGCAAUGCUGCUGUUAUCUGGAUACUUUAAAGGAGCAUGUCCCAUGUAUCCGCUGAGGCUCUGCGCUUCCUACCCCUGUGGCCCCUCCUCACCUCUCCGCUGCUCUGCUGCUUUACCGUCGCUCGCUCGGAUCUUAAACAAACACAACUCAUGGACACUACGGAGAGAGACUUCAAGAGGCAAUAAACAGAACAGUAUUAACCUGCUUUCAUGGAGGUUUGAUCAUGCUUAUUUGUACAGUUUUUUUAAUUUUAAAAAGGAAUGUAAUAAAAUGAGGGGUUUUUGUAGAAUUAAAUAUUAUUAUUAAAAACAAGUGGAAGGUUGAUUGUUGAUGUUAGCUGAUGGAGUGAUCCAGAUGAUCCAGCAACAAAAGACGUUUCAACAGUCAAGGUCAUCUCUGAAGUUUUAUUCCUGAACCUUCAAGUGCACAGAUUAUAACAAAAGAAAACAAAAAGGUUUUCCCUUGUAUAAAAAAAUCAAUACUCCCCAGUACAGGUUACAUCCAACCCAACUUUCUAAUUACAGGGUGGGAAAGCUCUGCCUCCUCACAGGCUCGUCUUCCCUCAUCUGCUUACUAAGGAGCUGUUUUUUAAAUAGUGUUCUGUAUUCCCUUUGAGCCCCUGAUUGAGCCUGCAGUUUCCAGCCCUACUUUAAUAUACACACUGUGAGCACCUGUGUGGGAUAUAAGUGAGGGAGGGUGGACAAGUCAGCUCCAUGCCAGCUGGAAGUAAUCAGCUAGGGCCUCUGCACUACUGUCACAGUUUGCAAAGAUAACUUAUUGGAAAGAGGCUGCUAACAGCUAUAUGAUCUGAGCUGUUUUGAGUCCCCACAUUGCUUGAGGGAAAGAGGCUAUGGCAGCAGGGACGACUUAAUGCAUCUCGCCUUUAGAAUUUCCUACUCACACUUCAGAGUAAUACAGAUUUGAGAAGAGGUACACAUACUUUUAUUCUGAAACACACAAGCAAAUGGACAGAAGGGUAUUGUGUUGUGGCUGGCUCCCUUGUGAUGAGAUCCUUUUGUGAGAUUGGUGCUUCUUUUGCAAGAUUGGAGAAAAGUUUAUGGGUAGUGCUUGUUAUGGGGGAGGAUCAGGAGUUAAAACUUUAGACACACUAAUGUAGACAGUAAUUCUUGAUACUGCUUACGGAAAGCCUUGCUGAGGAUUCAAAGCUUUGUCUAUUUGAAUCAAUCUUGUAGGUUCCUCCCCGCAACCUACCCAUUGUCUCGUGGUCAGUGAGAUGUAUAUAGUGGGGAAGAAAAAAUGGGUUUCACAUGUAUGCCUGUAAUACAACUAAAAAAUCAAGCCUCCCAUCACAUCUAAACACUAUAUAGCUCAGCACUAUGUGUUAUGCUCUCUUCAGUUCUACAUCCUAAAGAACGCUUUCCAUAUUCUACUGCCUUAAUAGAGCUAACAUUACCUGUCGUAUUCUGGUUUGGAAGCUUAUAUUGGAAAGGGCACGUAAUCAAGAUACACUGAGGAUUUUUAAAAAAAGGGCUGAUACAGAUAAUGGUGGUGCAUGUGUUGUUAAUAUAUAUAUCUUUUUUUUUAAGGGAGGGGAGAGAAAUUUGAGUGAGCCAAGCAGAAACUUUUGUUUGCAGAAAUAAGUUUUCUUAAUUUAAACCUGAUGGAAUUUGUCAUCUUGUUUGUAACAGUGAUUUGGGGGGAAGGGGAGUUGUGAAUUUUUCUGCUGUGUGAUUUGGUCACAUGUUUAAAAUUCUUUGUUUACCAUGUUUAAUUCUAAAUUGUCUGUAUGGCUUUGUAUAUUAAGUAUUUUUUUAAUUUUUUUGAUGUGUUUUAUAAAAUCAUCCCUCUCUGGAAUGCUACAAUGCCUCAUCUGUAACACGUGAUGGAAGAGUGAUGCUCUGUAUACACAUGGACUAUUUAUUUAUUUUUUUUGGUGUUCCACCCCCUCUGAGCUAUGUGGUCAUGCUUUGAUGGCUUUUCCCCCUCCUGCUUCACAUUUGCAGUCUUUCAUGUGUGAUAUCUGCCCAGGAAACGCCUCUGGAACUACUGUUUAUGUUGGCCAAAAAAAAAAGAGGACAUUUCUUCAAAUGUUGCACUGGACUUUUAAAUCCCACAUGUGAUAUCAGUAACUCUUUCUAAAACUCCUCUCUUUUUCCUCAAAUGCAAAAAGCCCUAUUUGGUUAAAUAUGUAAGGGGCCUCACGGGCUUAGAGAGACUUUGUGAAAGCAACCCGUGUGUACAAUAUCUUUCUCAUGGCUCGCUCUUUUUGAGAAGGUUUAUGGGCUUUAUGGCUGGUGUGAGACACACGACCCACUCCUGUUCUCUAUGGAAUUGUAGGUGCUCAGACAGGAGCCAAAAAAGUCAAACAAUCCAGAGAAAAACUUCCCUUCUCCCCUUUCUGAUGGCAAGAGUGAGAGCUUAUGAAAAGUCCUUGAGAAUGUUCCUUCCUAAACUUUUCUCCCCAGUAAUGCAAGCUGGUAAAACAGUAAACGCAGCAGUUUGGUGGCAUCCAAAACCGACCUGUUGGCAGGAAUGUAAUACUGGUGAAAGGUGCUGGAUCAGCAGCCCCAGAGAUUGAAAUCCUCUAUCCAUAGGACAGGCAACACACAGGCAUUGUGAAGCGGCAAGAGAUCUUUCUUUCCCCUUUAUGGGAAUACUUUUUCUCGCUCCGUUACUCUCGAUGAUGAAGGGAUGAGAGAGCAGAACUGAAUAAGUGGGACGACAGCCAGAGUUUGAGAUGAAAUGAUAGCAGCCACAGUGAUGCUGCCUUUGUUACAUGGAAAAACUAAAUUAAAGUGUUGUGAAUUGUAA